rnacentral:rRNA from 1 species
UGGUGACUAUAGCAAGGAGGUCACACCUGUUCCCAUGCCGAACACAGAAGUUAAGCUCCUUAGCCUCGAUGGUAGUCGAACUUACGUUCCGCUAGAGUAGAACGUUGCCAGGCA